UUUUAUGGAUGAGCAAUAAAAGUAGUUUCUUGAGUUGGGAUCUACUCCUGGUGAUGAUGCUGUGGA
rnacentral:pre_miRNA from 1 species